UAUUCCAUUACCGUACUUAGAAGCAUGUCAAACGCUGUUUAAAAUCAAUUUUUAUGCUACUUUUCUAGUAAAAUAGCGAUAAUAUUCCAACCGGGCAAUGUUGUAUUCAUUCAGAGAGAGAAAGAAAAACAUGGAGAAGUCUCGUGAACACACAUCUCAGUCUCACUGUCCCCAGGCUGACCACUCACAAACAGAGCUACUGUACUUUGCCCAGAGACAACAGACACCUCAUUCCACUUUCCGGCGGCUUUAAAGAGCCAAUGGAAGCCUUAGAAAGUGUCACGUUACAGCACAGAUGCUGUAUUUUCGAUAGAGAUGCAACAGAAGGACAACAAAUUGUCAGACAGGGCACUUCCUGUAUGGAAUCUUCUCAGGUUUUAGCCUGCCAUAUGACUUCUGUUAUACUCACAGACACCAUUCAAACCGUUUUAGAAACUUUAGAGUGUUUUCUAUCCAAAUCUACUAAAUAUAUGCAUGUUCUAGUUUCUAGGCAGGAGUAGUAACCAGAUUAAAUCGGGUACGUUUUUAUGCGACAGUAUAAAAAAUACAUUUUUGAUUGUUAAUUUCCUCAAUUAAGUUGGAAAAACAGGAUGAUCGAGCAGCAGUGAGGGCUCUUCGAUACUGCAAGGUACUGUCUUUCCAAGCUAGUCGGAAGACUUCCAGUUUGGUGUAGCGCCAUUUCCGUUCCAAUUUUUUGGAAGCUUGCUUCAGAGCUGGGGUAUUUUCUGUAUUUCAGGGAGCUGUUUUUAGGGCUGCAUCUAGGGUAUUACGCAAGGUUAAAUUGAGUUCCUCAGUUAGGUGGUUAACUGAUUUUUGUACUCUAACGUCCUUGAGUAGGUGGAGGGAGUCUGGAAGGGCAUCUUGGAAUCUUUGGGUUGUCCAAGAAUUUAUAGCAGGCUUUUGAUGAUCCUUGGUUGGGGUGUGAGUAGAUUAUUUGUUGCGAUUGCAAACGUAAUAAAAUGGUGGUCCAAUAGUCCAGGAUUAUGAGGAAAAACAUUAUGAUCCACAAUAUUUAUUCCACAGAAAAAACUAGGUCCAGAGUAUGACUGUGGCAGUGAGUAGGUCCGGAGACAUGUUGGACAAAACCCACUGAGUCGACGAUGGCUCCAAAAGCCUUUUGGAGUGGGUCUGUGACUUUUCCAUGUGAAUAUUAAAGUCACCAAAAAUGUGAAUAUUAUCUGCCAUGACUACAAGGGCUGAAAGGAAUUCAGGGAAAUCAGUGAGGAACGCCGUAUAUGGCCCAGGAGGCACAUGUAAACAGUAGCUAUAAAAAAGUGAUUGAGUAGGCUGCAUAGAUUACAUGACUAGAAGCUCAAAAGACAAAAAUGCAGUCGUAUUUUAUUUUGUAAAUGUUAAUUUGCUGUCGUGAAUGUUAGCAACACCUCCGCCUUUGCGGGAUGCCUGGGGGAUAUGGUCACUAGUGUAACCAGGAGGUAAGGCCUCUGUCAGAAGCGUCGUAGUGAAGAGACCAAGGCACAGCGUGGAUAGUGCUCAUUCUUAAUUUAUUUUAUGAGAACACUUAAACAGCAAAAUAACACCGACCAACCGUUCCGUCAGGUAAAACAACUAAACGGAAAAUAACCACCCACAAAACCUAAAGGAAAACAGGCUGCCUAAGUAUGGCUUCCAAUCAGAGACAACGAAAGACACCUGCCUCUGAUUGGAAACCAUACUUGGCCAAACCUGGAAAACGAAGCAUAGAAAAUGAAAACUAGAACAAAUUCCCCUUGAACCAAAAAACCCCCAAACACACAAAACAACCCCCCUGCCACGCCCUGAUCAUUCUACUAUGGCAAAUGACCCUUUUCACUGGUCAGGACGUGACAGCCUCAUUUAACACAGUAAAUUCAUCAGGCUUAAGCCAUGUUUCAGUCAGGCCAAUCACAUCAAGAUUAUGAUCAGUGAUUAGUUCAUUGACUAUAACUGCCUUGGAAGUGAGGGAUCUAACAUUAAGUAGCCCUAUUUUGAGAUGUGAGAUAUCAAUAUCUCUUUCAAUAAUGACAUGAAUGGAGGAGGUCUUUAUUCCAGUGAGAUUGCUCAGGCCAAACACCGCCAUGUUUUGUUUUGCCCAACCAAGAUCGAACCACAGACACUGUCCCAAUGCUGAUAUCUGAGCUGACUACACUGACUGUGCUAGUGGCAGACUCCACUAAGCUGUAGACUGGCUAACAGCAUGCUGCCUGGUGUGAACCCUAUCUCAUAGGGUAGUUAAAGCCCUGUGUAUGUUCGUAGAUAAGACGAGAACACCCCUCCAGCUAGGAUGGAGUCCGUCACUCCUCAGCAGGCCAGUCUUGGUCCUGUUUGUGGGUGAGUCCCAGAAAGAGGGCCAAUUAUCUACAAAUUCUAUCUUUUGGGAGGGGCAGAAAACAGUUUUAAACCAGCGAUUGAGUUGUGAGACUCUGCUGUAGAGCUCAUCACUCCCCCUAACUGGGAGGGGGCCAGAGACUAUUACUCGAUGCCGACACAUCUUUCUAGCUGAUUUACACGCUGAAGCUAUGUUGCGCUUGGUGACCUCUGACUGUUUCAUGCUAACAUCGUUGUUGCCGACGUGGAUAACAGUAUCCCUAUACUCUCUACACUCACCAGUUUUAGCCUUCGCCAGCACCAGCUUCAGAAUAGCCUUAACAUCGGUAGCCCUGCACCCUGGUAAAUAGUGUAUGAUCGCUGGAUGAUUCGUUUUAAGUCUAAUAUUGCGGGUAAUGGAGUCAUCAAUGACUUGGGUUUUCAACUUGUCAGAGCUAAUGGUGGGAGGCUUCAGCGUCUCAGACACCGUAACUGGAGGAGGAGAGACCAGAGAAGGCUCUGCCUCUGAUCCGUUGCUUAAGGGGGAGAACCGGUUGAAAGUUUCUGUCGGCUUUCCUACAGCAUUUCCUUCCAGAAGCCAUGAGAAAAUUGUCCGGCUGCGGGGACUGUGCGAGGGGAUUUAUACUAACGUUACUAUCUGUACUUACUGGUGGCACAGACGCUGUUUCAUCCUUUCCUACACUUAAAUUACCCUUGCCUAACGAUUGCGUCUGAAGCUGGGCUUGCAGCACAGCUAUCCUCGCCAUAAGGCGAUCGUUCUCCUGUAUUAUGAGUACAGUGACUGCAAUUAGAGGGCAUAAUAUUAAUGUUACUACUUAGCUUCGGGCUAGUGGAGGUCCUGACGAACCACGUCCAGAUAAAGCGUCCGGGGUGAAAAAGUUGAAUGAAAAAAGUUGAGCGAGGGAAAAAAUUCUGAGGCUGGAACCCUACUGGCAGCACUUGACUACAGCCUUUGUAACCAUCAUCCAACCUUGGAGAACGCAUAGGGCAACAUGAUCUAAAGAAGACUCUACAAUAGCAAGCUUCGAAGGUGAAGUGUCUACGCAUUGAAAACUACAAAGGACUACAUUGACAUCCCAGAGCUUCAGAGAGAAGUGUUGAGAAGACUGGGCUCUCAAUUGGGGCUACCAAGGAGAAUGAUCCUGUGAUCAGAUGACCCAAGACUCCCUGAAGUGCCACACCAACAAUGGCUGAGCUGCUACAACUUCGAGAAGUCACCACGCAACACAGGGUGCAGUAAGCUGGGAAGGACUGGAGAUUUCCUUGCUGUCAGAUUUGGUGGUUCCCGGGAGGUGUGAAAAUAUACAGAGUACUCAGAAUUGUUGUUAAAAGUGGUGGGCCUACAACCAAACAUAUAAAUCAAAUAAAUCAGGGAAGUUUGUGGUGGCAAGCUAAGCUAUCCUGGAUAAAAAUUAACACAUUUACAAAAAGGGAACUUCCUAGGUGGACUAUCCGUACCAAACGAUAAAUUGUAUUUCCAGGCACUAGCAUUUUGCCCCAUCCUAAAUUGGUUUAGACAUGAUUCUUCCGUCCCCUUGGCUGAGUAUAGAGAGACAUAUGGUAUCUCCUUUUGCCCUGGAAGAGAUGGCCUUCACUGAUAUAUCCCUUUAACAAUGUAAACUACACUUUGGUCCUAAUAUUGUUCACCAAUAAUAACACUAUGUAUUCAGGACAAAAGUUAAUUGCUUUGCCACAAUUUUUGCAGUAUUACUUUAAUGCCUUGUUGCAAACAGGAUGCAUGUUUUGGAAUGUUUUUAUUCUGUACAGGCUUCCUGUACAGAGUAACUACAGUGUUGUUGAUCCAUCUUCAGUUUUCUCCUAUCACAGCCAUUAAACUCUAACUGUUUUAAGGUCACCAUCAGCCUUUUUUUUAACCAAUUUACCAAUAGGUGCCCUUCAUUGCGAG
rnacentral:lncRNA from 1 species